UACGUAGGGUGCAAGCGUUAAUCGGAAUUACUGGGCGUAAAGCGUGCGCAGGCGGUUUUGUAAGUCUGACGUGAAAUCCCCGGGCUCAACCUGGGAAUUGCGUUGGAGACUGCAAGGCUGGAGUCUGGCAGAGGGGGGUAGAAUUCCACGUGUAGCAGUGAAAUGCGUAGAGAUGUGGAGGAACACCGAUGGCGAAGGCAGCCCCCUGGGCUGACACUGACGCUCAGGCACGAAAGCGUGGGGAGCAAACAGG
rnacentral:rRNA from 1 species